UUGAAGUAGAUCCUCUGUAACAAAACAACAUCUGUGUUAACUAGAUAUUAUUGGCAGUUUAUUUAUUCACAUCUAACAGACUUUUUAUUUGUAAUAUUAUACCAAUAAUUCAAAAUAUUAUGAAUAUAAUAUACUGUAUGCUUCUAACACCAAAAGUCAGAUUAAUAAGGGAUUACAGGAUUUGGUACCAUAAUAUGAACCAUAUUAAAUGAACUAAGAACAGAUAUAUUAAGUAAUUACACCGAAGCCACUAAUAUACAGCAGGACUGUGGUAGCUUAAGUAUUGUUUUAGAUUUGUCCAUUAUUAAUAAGCAUUAAAAAACAUUUAUUGUGAUUUUUGGAUUAAGUAUGAAUUCUAGGAUUAGUUGACAUUACACUAAAGUCACAAUACUAAAAGUACUAUAUCAUUUUUAUAUCUUGCUUAUUAAUGAUCCUAGCUUUAUAAUCCAUUUUAUAGUAAAUUUGUCUCUCUCUUUUUUUUUUUUGUUUUUUUUUUUUGCAGUAAUCCCACAGUCACUGACGUACUGUAUGAGUUCAUUAGGAUUAACCUGCAAGUGAACGUCCUUACAGCGCAUGCGCAAAGAAAAACAAACAAACAGGUCUUAGUAACCCUGCGGUUUAUAGAGGAUUUCUGUAUACUUGAUACGACUUCUACAUGGAAUACAAUAGCAUCCAAGUAAAGUAUAGUCUGUGCGGUGUCCAGGUCAUCCUUGGAUUCCUAAAAACAGACAGCAGAAGAACAAUUUAAUUCAGAGAUGAUUGCCAUACUCUGGAUCCACCUGAUUGAAAGGCUCUUAAGAUAGAAGCUGAUUCUCUAACCUCUCUGAUGGAGACUACAUAAGGCAAAAAAAAACUGUUAAAGGUUCGCUGAAAGCUACUCACGUAGUAGUCUCGGAUGACGGCGUAUGAAGAACGAAGUGCUUUCAAUCUGACUGGAAAUCCCUCAAUGAAGGAGCAGCAACUGUUUUGGCAGGUGAUCUUUUU